GGCUUGGUAGCUUAGUUGGUAAAGCACUUGUCUGGCAUACAAGAGUCGUGGGUUCGAGUCCCACCUGAGCAC
rnacentral:tRNA from 2 species